AGUGAACGCUGGCGGUAGGCCUAACACAUGCAAGUCGAACGGCAGCACAGUAAGAGCUUGCUCUUACGGGUGGCGAGUGGCGGACGGGUGAGGAAUACAUCGGAAUCUACUUUUUCGUGGGGGAUAACGUAGGGAAACUUACGCUAAUACCGCAUACGACCUACGGGUGAAAGCAGGGGAUCUUCGGACCUUGCGCGAUUGAAUGAGCCGAUGUCGGAUUAGCUAGUUGGCGGGGUAAAGGCCCACCAAGGCGACGAUCCGUAGCUGGUCUGAGAGGAUGAUCGGCCACACUGGAACUGAGACACGGUCCAGACUCCUACGGGAGGCAGCAGUGGGGAAUAUUGGACAAUGGGCGCAAGCCUGAUCCAGCCAUACCGCGUGGGUGAAGAAGGCCUUAGGGUUGUAAAGCCCUUUUGUUGGGAAAGAAAAGCAGCAGGUUAAUACCCCGCUGUUCUGACGGUACCCAAAGAAUAAGCACCGGCUAACUUCGUG
rnacentral:rRNA from 1 species